rnacentral:rRNA from 1 species
UACGUAGGGCGCAAGCGUUGUCCGGAAUUACUGGGCGUAAAGCGCACGUAGGCGGCUUUGUAAGUUAGAGGUGAAAGCCUGGAGCUCAACUCCAGAAUUGCCUUUAAGACUGCAUCGCUUGAAUCCAGGAGAGGUGAGUGGAAUUCCGAGUGUAGAGGUGAAAUUCGUAGAUAUUCGGAAGAACACCAGUGGCGAAGGCGGCUCACUGGCCCGGUACUGACGCUGAGGUGGCGAAAGCGUGGGGAGCAAACAGG